rnacentral:rRNA from 1 species
AAGGAAGUUAAUCAAACUAAAAAAAAAGAAAAAUCAGCGAUUUUUUAAUAAAAAGGGACGGGGAGAAAAAAAGAUGAAUUUUACCCCCAAUUGUAUUUUUAGUUGGAGUCGUAACACGCUCUCCAUGGCGAACCAGCGGUUUCUUAAAGUAAAAGUCGUAACAAGGUUUCCGUAGGUGAACCUGCGGAAGGAUCAUUCAUAAUUUAUUAUAAAUGUUCUUCUUGAAUAAAAGUUCAUUGUUAGGGCCUCGGCCUCUAACAAAGUAUACCUAUUUUAUAGGUUUUAAUCGUUACUAAAUAUCCUAAAAAAUUAAUAAAUUUUCAACGAUGGAUAUCUAGGCUCCAAUAACGAUGAAGAACGCAGCGAAGUGCGAUAAGCAAUGCGAAUUGCAGAACCGCGAGUCAUCAGAUUUUUGAACGCAAGUGGCGGCAACCUAGGUUGUCAUGGUUGUUUCAGUGUGUCCGGUUAAUUACAUCAUGGAAUAUAAUGUGAUUGAAGAGAUUCUCUCACAAAAUAUGAAGUAGUGUCAAUGAAGACUCCAAACGAACUAGUCACUAAAUGGUGAUAAUCGUCUGAGGAUCAGAAUUGGUGAAUCACUGUUUGAUAACUUAUUAUCUCAUUAUGGCACUCGAAUUCAGCUAAGAUAGCCAGUUCC